GACGAACGCUGGCGGCGUGCUUAACACAUGCAAGUCGAACGAAGUGGCGAACGGGUGAGUAACGCGUAAUCAACCUGCCCUUCAGAGGGGGACAACAGCUGGAAACGACUGCUAAUACCGCAUACUGAAGGAGGGGAUGUCGUAUGAUAAGCUGGUUGGAGGGGGAACGGCCCGCCAAGGCGAUGAUAAGUAGCCGGUCUGAGGGGAUAAACGGCAACGUUGGGACGGGGACGCGACCCAGACUCCUGCGGGAGGCAGCCGUGGGAAAUCUUCCGCAAUGGACGGAGGUCUGACGGAGCAGCGCCGCGUGAGUGAUGACGGCCUCGGGUUGUAGAGCUCUGUUAAUCGGGACGCGGUACCGGAAUAGAAAGCCACGGCUAACUACGUGCCAGCAGCCGCGGUAAUAC
rnacentral:rRNA from 1 species